rnacentral:rRNA from 1 species
UAGGGAAUCUUACGCAAUGGGCGAAAGCCUGACGGAGCAACGCCGCGUGAGUGAUGAAGGUCUUCGGAUAGUAAAACUCUGUUAUUAGGGAAGAACAAAUGUGUAAGUAACUAUGCACGUCUUGACGGUACCUAAUCAGAAAGCCACGGCUAACUACGUGCCAGCAGCCGCGGUAAUACGUAGGUGGCAAGCGUUAUCCGGAAUUAUUGGGCGUAAAGCGCGCGUAGGCGGUUUUUUAAGUCUGAUGUGAAAGCCCACGGCUCAACCGUGGAGGGUCAUUGGAAACUGGAAAACUUGAGUGCAGAAGAGGAAAGUGGAAUUCCAUGUGUAGCGGUGAAAUGCGCAGAGAUAUGGAGGAACACCAGUGGCGAAGGCGACUUUCUGGUCUGUAACUGACGCUGAUGUGCGAAAGCGUGGGGAUCAAACAGG